GGGGACCCGCAAGCGGUGGAUGAUGUGGAUUAAUUCGAUGCAACGCGAAAAACCUUACCUACCCUUGACAUGUACGGAAGACCGAAGAGAUUUGGUUGUGCUCGAAAGAGAACCGUAACACAGGUGCUGCAUGGCUGUCGUCAGCUCGUGUCGUGAGAUGUUGGGUUAAGUCCCGCAACGAGCGCAACCCUUGUCAUUAGUUGCUACAUUCAGUUGAGCACUCUAAUGAGACUGCCGGUGACAAACCGGAGGAAGGUGGGGAUGACGUCAAGUCCUCAUGGCCCUUAUGGGUAGGGCUUCACACGUCAUACAAUGGUACAUACAGAGGGCCGCCAACCCGCGAGGGGGAGCUAAUCCCAGAAAGUGUAUCGUAGUCCGGAUCGCAGUCUGCAACUCGACUGCGUGAAGUUGGAAUCGCUAGUAAUCGCAGAUCAGCAUGUCGCGGUGAAUACGUUCCCGGGUCUUGUACACACC
rnacentral:rRNA from 1 species